GACGAACCGUCCGAACGUUAUUCGGAAUCACUGGGCUUAAAGCGCGUGUAGGCGGGUCGACACGUCCGACACUGAAAUCCCCCGGCUCAACCGGGGAACUGGUCCGGAUACGAUCGACCUGGAGGGAGGUAGGGGGGGCCUGGAACUUCCGGUGGAGCGGUGAAAUGCGUUGAGAUCGGAAGGAACGCCCGUGGCGAAAGCGAGGCCCUGGACCUUUUCUGACGCUGAGACGCGAAAGCCAGGGGAGCGAACGGG
rnacentral:rRNA from 1 species